UCCCACUAAAAAUGAGAGAAAAUUGUUUCAAUUUUGUGCAAAAACACAACCACUGGUGGAUUGUUCUUACAUUGAUAAAUGUGUAUCGUAUCUACUAGAAUAACAUAUCAAAAAAUUAGAGAUGUCAUAUUUCAUUUAAGAAAAUAAAUUGAUUUUAAAAUUUGCACUAUUGCGAAAAUAUGCGAGUUUUUCCGAAAUCUAGAUCACCUCGACUCUUGACUGCAAUGCGUAUUCCAAGUAUAUUCAUGAUCAAGACAAGUUACGUCCCUUUUCUGAAGUGAAAGUAGAAAUUCGUGAGCGGUGAUUUGGAUAUUUUGAGCUGGUUUAAGUCUUUAAAUCAACUAGAAUUUUACAUUUGAUACUUAAGUGUUUGUCGGAGGCCGUUAUGCUCUCGAAGGGUAGCUUUCAAUGAUGAUAUAUCAGUGGAUUUACGCUGCGAUCGUGAUUACAACAGGGAGAACUUGUAUGCAAAAACUUCUGAGAAGAUUAGCCGAAAAAGAAACGCACAGGUGGCAUUGAAUGUGUCCAAUGCUGUUGUCAUAACAUUUCAGAUCCCUCUGACAGUCAGGGGUGCAGAUUCAAGAUUGGAUGUUCUAAUUGAAAUUAAGACAGAAAUAUUUUCUGUGAGGAAUGUAUAAGACUUGGUAUCAUCAUUAUGACAACACAGUUGUGGGUCAUUAAAAUUUAAGUGGAUCCAACAUGGCUGGAACUUGUUUAAAGAUUGUUCAACUGGAAUGUGUCCACUGAGAAAAUCCCAGAGGCUGAAACUGUUGGAGUUCAACUUGGAGAAUAUCUGACAACCUGUUUUUGAAUUUCUCAUCCCCUUUCAUGGAAGGAACUGUACUCAACUGAACAAUGCAACUGUACAUGUCCAUAGUUUACAGAAAGAUACUGAUAUACAUUGUAUAUGCAAAAACAAAUAUAAUGUGUUAGUCAUUGUUUAGAAACUCAUUUUUAGAUAAAGCUUGAACAUGAUUGAAGAUUGUUUAAUUCAAUUUUUGGACUGACUGAGAGCUUCACAGACUGCAAUUUAAAAUGUACAAUUUUAAUCUAAUAGAAAGCAAUCAGGAUAAGUCUGACAGAAACAGGACAACUUUAAAUUCAUAUUCUUAAUAUAACCAAGAUGGACACAAAAUUUGCUUUUAAAAACAAAAUAAUACCCCACCCCGAAUUGGAAGUUGGGCAGUAUUUUUUGUAAUGCAUGCAUCUUAUAAGUAAUUCAUGUACAUGUAUGACACAUAAACCCAUAUUAUAAUUUUGAUACAAAACCAAAACCUGUUUUUAACAAUAGCAAUCCCCCACCCCUGUAAAUUGUGUUGUUAUAAACAAUGGAUGUUUUGGGAAUUUUAAUGGGCAUUGAUUUUGCAUUGCAAAUCUUUUUUAAUGCCAUCAUCACAGAAUCUGGUAUUCAUGGAAAUGAAUUAAUUAUUUGCAACAAAGUAAUUAGAAAAGUGCACUUAUGUACUUAUGGAGAAAGUACUGACACAAGCCAAAAGGCCAUCCAUAUUCAGUUGUUUUUUUUCCCUACUAAAGUUGGAUUAAUCGAGAAAUAAAGAAAUGAAAGGGUGGUGUAUUGGUGCAAGAAGAUUAUGACCUAAGUAACAUCAUCUUUCUGGUACCUUGCAGCUUUAGUUGACACACAAAACAAUUUAGAAAUCGUUAGUACAUAUGUAUGUGGGUAGCUGAUAAAAAUCAGGGUCAAGAAAAUGUUGGGGAAAAGAAUGCAUACCCAAUCAUUAAUAUACUACAGUUACAUGUAGCUGCUACAGUUCCUAUUUAAUGUUUCCAUGGAGACAAAACAGUCAGAUUACCAACAUUUUCAUAACAGGACUUUUGGACUAGCUAUCUCUGGUCAAAACUGACUCAAAUGAGUAUAAGUAGGUAAAAUACUUGUAGUUUAAAAUGUAAAUGAAAAGAAAUCUAAAUCGCCAACAUAAUGUUUCCAUGGAAGUGGGUUUCUAUAGCAACUAAAUUACAAAUUGAAGUCCUUCUUAAUUAGUAUAUUUUAACCAGCCUAUGAAUACAAAGAUGAAGUUAUGAUAUUAUAGAAUAAAUCUACUGAAGUACAUGUACAUUAAAUUGUUUUCAAUGAUUAUGGUUGAUGUUUCCAUAGCAACACUUUUUUCUUCAUAUUUUCCCCUUUGUAAUAAUUAAAUUCAAAUGAUUAAACAGAGUCGUAAAAUGCUUUUACAGGAAAUAUCUAGAGAUAAAUAUGUAAUUUUAUCUUGUGAAAAGUAAAAAUUCUAUUCAAUACAAAGUAAUUCAAACACAUUUAAAAAAAAUUUCAUUUUCAUUUUAAAUGUAAUGAUCUUCUACCAAUGCCUUUUGACUUGAAGAUUUUUUAAAAUGUUUGCUGCACCAACUAAUCCAACUUAUGAC